CCUACGAGGGGCAGCAGUAGGGAAUAUUGCUCAAUGGGGGAAACCCUGAAGCAGCAACGCCGCGUGGAGGAUGAAGGUUUUCGGAUUGUAAACUCCUUUUGUUAGAGAAGAGAAUGACGGUAUCUAACGAAUAAGCACCGGCUAACUCCGUUCCAGCAGCCGCGGUAAUACGGAGGGUGCAAGCGUUACUCGGAAUCACUGGGCGUAAAGAGCGAGUAGGCGGGAUAGCAAGUCAGAUGUGAAAUCCUCUGGCUUAACCAUAGAACUGCAUUUGAAACUGUUAUUCUAGAGUAUGGGAGAGGUAGGUGGAAUUCUUGGUGUAGGGGUGAAAUCCGUAGAGAUCAAGAGGAAUACUCAUUGCGAAGGCGACCUGCUAGAACAUAACUGACGCUGAUGCGCGAAAGCGUGGGGAGCAAACAGGAUUAGAUACCCGGGUAGUC
rnacentral:rRNA from 1 species